CCUUAUUAUUUAUGUAAUAAAACCUACAAUUGACUUUCCUGAGACUUGUAGCAUUCCUUAGACAGGGGAUACCUGCCUUCUGAAACACUGCUCAGAGAAACUGGAGCAAAUAUGCUAUUUUUGAGAUUUAGUCGCCUAUGGGAAGAAAAUCAAAAUUUUAAAUUAGGAAACACUCAGUGGAUUCUGUAAGUUUCUUCAUGGAUAUGCAGAUGAUGAAACUGAAGGGGAGAGAGUGAUUUUCUUAAAAUUGGUAUUCUGAAAUUUAAUGCAGUACUUAUGAAGUCUUUUAUACACUGCCAUUGGAAUGAGUCACUGGACUGUAUUCACCUAAAGUUCAGGUCUGGUCAACAUUUUAGACCCAAAGGUCAACAAACUAUGUAGAUUUGACCCAGAUAACAGAUGCAGUCUGGUACCCAUUUGUGUCAUUUUUAUGUGGCCAAACCUAACUUUGUGGUUUCAUCAUGACAGGCUUUAGUUUGCAGUAGAGAUCUUGUGGCUCAGGAGCCUGAAGAGUUUACUACUCAGCUCUGUGAAUCUUCUUUAAGAUGAUCUUUGAGAAUACCUUUCCAUGUCGUCCUUAAAGCAAGCUAUUGUCAUCCAUUGCUAGCAUUCAGAUUCUCAAGACAAGUAUGUCAUGAGAAAUGAACCUGCAAAGACUACCUGCUUUCUUACCACACUCAUUUCUCCUCACCACUUGUGCCUGCUGAAGGUGAGGUAAUGUGAGUUAGCACAUUUGGCUUGUUUUUCUGAGAGCAGCUCGCCUAGUCCACUUCUAGUUCCUGAGUGGUGAAUUAAUCUGAGUUCCCAUGGAACAACUUCAGAAGAUGCAGAGUGAGUUUUGAUGGGAAAGAGACUCUUCAUGGGCUACUCUAGAACAAACAAUGGAAACGGAUCACAGGAAAGAAUGAAGGACAUGGUUCAUGUCUGAUUCAGGUGAUUUCUACAAACAGUUCCAGGAGCUUUCUCCAUUCUCCCAGUUGAGAUUGGCAUUAUGCUUAGAGAAGAAAAAGCGUCUCAAAAGAAAACUAGUCACUCUUGAGGUAGAAUUGCCUCACCUGAAGAGGGAGGAGGUAUUUUUCCUUUUCUCUGAGUCAAGAACUCAUGAUCACCAUCACCCAACCCUGCUCACACACACCCUGACCACCACGGGUCUCUAGGCACUUUAAAUUCUAUGAUUUAUAUGAACUCUUACAGGGACGCAGCUGUUCUCCUGGGCAUAUUCACAACACGUUUUUCCACCCACUCACCUCCCAAGGUGGGUUCUUAAGCAAGUAGCAAAAUGAGGUGUGGGCACUGACACAAAGACCAAUGAGGCAUUUUAAGAGAAGUUAAAUUCAGGAAGCUUUAGGGAAACAAACAAAAAUAAAUUUUAAGAAAUCUGUUUGCAUGGAAAGAUAAAACAAUAAUAGAAUGAGAGAGAGAGAGAGAGAGAGA
rnacentral:lncRNA from 1 species